rnacentral:rRNA from 1 species
CCUACGGGUGGCAGCAGUGAGGAAUAUUGGUCAAUGGGCGGAAGCCUGAACCAGCCAAGUAGCGUGCAGGAUGACGGCCCUACGGGUUGUAAACUGCUUUUAUACGGGAAUAACGCGCCUUACGUGUAGGGCUUUGCAUGUACCGUAUGAAUAAGGACCGGCUAAUUCCGUGCCAGCCACCGCGGUAAUACGGAAGGUACGGGCGUUAUCCGGAUUUAUUGGGUUUAAAGGGAGCGUAGGCCGCAUGUCAAGGGUGUCGUGAAAUGUCCGGGCUCAACCCGGGCCUUGCAGCGCGAACUGGCGUGCUUGAGUCCGCGGAAAGCAGGCGGAAUUCGUGGUGUAGCGGUGAAAUGCUUAGAUAUGACGAAGAACCCCGAUUGCGAAGGCAGCUUGCUGCAGCGGAACUGACGCUGAUGCUCGAAAGCGCGGGUAUCGAACAGGAUUAGAUACCCUUGUAGUC